GUGUUCACUUCAGCAGCACAUAUACUAAAAUGGGAAUGAUACAGAGAUUAGCAUGGCCCUUGCGCAAGGAUGACACGCAAAUUUGUGAAAUGUUCCAUAUUUAA